UACGAAGGGGGCUAGCGUUGCUCGGAAUCACUGGGCGUAAAGCGCACGUAGGCGGCUUUCUAAGUCAGGGGUGAAAUCCUGGAGCUCAACUCCAGAACUGCCUUUGAUACUGGGAAGCUCGAGUCCGGAAGAGGUGAGUGGAACUGCGAGUGUAGAGGUGAAAUUCGUAGAUAUUCGCAGGAACACCAGUGGCGAAGGCGGCUUCCUGGGCCGGUUCUGACGCUGAGGCGCGAAAGCGUGGGGAGCAAACAGG
rnacentral:rRNA from 1 species